rnacentral:rRNA from 1 species
UACGUAGGGCGCAAGCGUUAUCCGGAAUUAUUGGGCGUAAAGAGCUCGUAGGCGGUUUGUCGCGUCUGCCGUGAAAGUCCGGGGCUCAACUCCGGAUCUGCAGUGGGUACGGGCAGACUGGAGUGCGGUAGGGGAGAAUGGAAUUCCUGGUGUAGCGGUGGAGUGCGCAGAUAUCAGGAGGAACACCGAUGGCGAAGGCAGUUCUCUGGGCCGUAACUGACGCUGAGGAGCGAAAGCGUGGGGAGCGAACAGG